CCUACGGGCGUCAGCAGUAGGGAAUUUUCGGCAAUGGGGGGAACCCUGACCGAGCAACGCCGCGUGAACGAAGAAGUUAUUCGUAAUGUAAAGUUCUUUUAACAGGGAAGAAAGAGAAAUUUGACGGUACCUUAAGAAUAAGCUCCGGCUAACUACGUGCCAGCAGCCGCUGUAAUACGUAGGGAGCGAGCUUUAUCCGGAAUUAUUGGGUGUAAAGGGUGCGUAGAUGGCAUAGUAAGUCUUUUGUAAAAAGGCUGGGCACAACCCAGUAGGGCAAAAGAUACUGCAAAGCUAGAGUAUGACAGAGGCAAGUGGAACUACAUGUGUAGCGGUAAAAUGCGUAAAUAUAUGUAAGAACACCAGUGGCGAAGGCGGCUUGCUGGGCCGAUACUGACAUUGAGGCACGAAAGCGUGGGGAGCAAACAGGAUUAGAUACCCCUGUAGUC
rnacentral:rRNA from 1 species